rnacentral:rRNA from 1 species
GAUAAACGCUGGCGGCGUGCAUAACACAUGCAAGUCGAACGAAGUGGCGAACGGGUGCGUAACACGUGAGUAACCUGCCUUACACAAGGGGAUAGCCUUUGGAACCGAAGAAUAAUACCAUAUAGUUUAAGCUGGACUUGCGUCUGAUUAGCUAGUUGGUGAGAUAAAAGCCCACCAAGGCGACGAUCAGUAGCCGGCUUGAGAGAGUGUACGGCCACAUUGGGACGUAGACACGGCCCAAACUCCUACGGGAGGCAGCAGUGGGGAAUUUUGCACAAUGGGGGAAAGUCUGACGGAGCAACGCCGCGUUAGUGAUGACGGCCUUCGGGUUGUAAAGCUCUGUUAAUCGGGACGCGGUACCGGAAUAGAAAGCCACGGCUAACUACGUGCCAGCAGCCGCGGUAAUAC